UGAGUGCGAGCGGCUACGGCCGCGAAGUGGGUGAUGUCAAGCUUCCAAGAAAAGCCCUAUACCCGUUAAGACAUGAUGGCCUGUACCCGAAACCGACACAGGUGGGGUGGUAGAGAAUACCGAGGGGCGCGAGGUAACUCUCUCUAAGGAACUCGGCAAAAUGGCCCCGUAACUUCGGGAGAAGGGGUGCCACCGCAAGGUGGUCGCAGUGAAGAGGCCCAGGCGACUGUUUACCAAAAACACAGGUCUCCGCUAAGUCGCAAGACGAUGUAUGGGGGCUGACGCCUGCCCAGUGCCGGAAGGUUAAGGAAGCUGGUCAGCGCAAGCGAAGCUGGCGACUGAAGCCCCGGUGAACGGCGGCCGUAACAAUAACGGUCCUAAGGUAGCGAAAUUCCUUGUCGGGUAAGUUCCGACCCGCACGAAAGGCGUAACGAUCUGGGCGCUGUCUCGGAGAGAGGCUCGGCGAAAUAGAAUUGUCUGUGAAGAUGCGGACUACGUGCACCCGGACAGAAAGACCCUAUGAAGCUUUACUGUAGCUUGGUAUUGUGCCCGGGCUCUGAAUGCGCAGGAUAGGUGGGAGGCUUUGAUCCAUGGCUUGCGGGUCAUGGUGAGCCAACGGUGAGAUACCACUCUUUCAGAGCUAGGGUUCUAACGGUCACCCGUCAUCCGGGGACCGGACAGUAUCAGGUGGGCAGUUUGACUGGGGCGGUCGCCUCCUAAAAGGUAACGGAGGCGCGCAAAGGUUUGCUCAGGCUGGUUGGAAAUCAGCCGACGAGUGCAAAAGCAGAAGCAAGCUUGACUGUGAGACCUACAAGUCGAACAGGGACGAAAGUCGGCUUUAGUGAUCCGACGGUUCUGAGUGGAAGGGCCGUCGCUCAACGGAUAAAAGUUACUCUAGGAUAACAGGCUGAUCUCCCCCAAGAGUUCACAUCGACGGGGAGGUUUGGCACCUCGAUGUCGGCUCAUCGCAACCUGGGGCUGAAGUCGGUCCCAAGGGUUGGGCUGUUCGCCCAUUAAAGCGGUACGCGAGCUGGGUUCAGAACGUCGUGAGACAGUUCGGUCCAUAUCCGGUGCACGCGCAGGAACAUUGAGAGGAUUUCUCCCUAGUACGAGAGGACCGGGAGGAACGCACCUCUGGUGUGCCAGUUAUCGUGCCAACGGUAAACGCUGGGUAGCCAUGUGCGGAGUGGAUAACCGCUGAAAGCAUCUAAGUGGGAAGCCCACCUCAAGAUGAGUGUUCCCAUGGCAUAAGCCAGUAAGGUCACGGGAAGAACACCCGUUGAUAGGCUCUACGUGGAAGCCGGGUAACCGGUGAAGCGGAGGAGUACUAAUAGGCCGAGGGCUUGACC
rnacentral:rRNA from 1 species